CAAUGGAGUACUACUCAGCAGAAAAAACAAAACAAAAACAAAAACAAUGGAAUCUUGAAAUUUGCAGGAAAAUGGAUGGAACUAGAAGAAACCAUUCUGAGCAAGGUAACCCAAUCACAAAAAGACAAACAUGAAUAUCAUCCCAGGAGGAGUCUGCCAGUCACUUCAUGGACCUUUCCUACCAUUGUACUUCACAUGUUCAUCUGAAAUUCAUCUAUAAGGAUAUGUUCCCACAAGUGCCUGAGACCUAAUUUGCAUCAGAAUACCAGACACUUGCCAGAGUCAGAGGAAACGUUGUUGGACCAUGAGUGGAGACCCAAUUCCAGUCCAUGGAAGCAGGAGACUUCUGACCCGCUCAUGCUGCCCCCUCGGUGCCUAGAGGAAGAGCUGGCUUCACUGAUGCUGAAAAUCGGCGAGGCCUCACAUUGUGUUUGAAUCUACAAAGGAUGCCCUUGAACAUACAGGGGAAAUGAGAAUGAGAGAAUCUGAUGCUUUUGCUCUAACUUACCAAUACCCGGUCUCGGGAACUCACCCAAGCAAGCGUGUUGGGCACUAACUGGGCAGAGAAGCGCUCCUGUGGUUCUUUAUUAUUAUUUGUGUAAGUGUUUCCCAACAAACACCCAUUUUUUAUUUAUCUUGGGACUAGUGAAAUCAUUACACCCUCACCUUCACAUGGGUAAAGUCCAUAGUGCCAGUCAACUUGUUAAUCACUUAAAUCAAGGGGCUGGAGGGAUGGCUCAGAGGUUAAGAGCACUGGCUGCUCUUCCAGAGGUCCUGAGUUCAAUUCCCAGCAACCACCUGGUGGCUCACAACCAUCUGUAAUGAGAUCUGGUGCCCUCUUGAGAUGUGCA
rnacentral:lncRNA from 1 species